AUAUUGUCUUGAUACAAGCAAGGUAUUAUUAAGCUCUGCAUGUCUGCAAUUCUGUGGUAGAUCUGGAAAUAGUAAUAAUACUGAUAUAUUUACUCUUCAUUUUCCUUCCCCCACCAACUGUAUCAUAGCUGUGAGGGCCUGAACUGAAAAUAAAAGACAAUGGAUUUAUUUUCUUCUCUUCCAUCCAUUCUCUUCAUAAUCUUGGGCAGAUCAUUUGAAUUCCCUGAACUGCAUUGUCUUUUAUUUGUAAAACUGGUUUAUUAGAUUAGAUAAGCUCCCUCAUCACUCUACCUUCUAGAAACCUGCACUCUCUAAAACUCUGCAGAGGCCAAGCCCAACAAUAACUACCUUCUCCCUGGCAUCUGCCCCAUUGCAUUUUAUGGACAGGAAAGAUUGUAAGAUUGUGCAAGGGGAAUGGGGAAAGGAAGUAUAGACGAAUCCUAAGGCAGAUAUAAAAUCAGCCACACACAAAAAAAAAAAAAGAAGAAGAAAGAGAGAGAGAAAGAAAGGAAAGAAAGAAAGAAAGAGAAGAAAAGAGAAAAAAAAUGGAACAACAGCUGGCUUAAUUUCUUUCUUCCAUCUGACUCCAGGCCAUAUUCAGAUCUGUAAGAAAAACAAGACAAUUAACUCCCAAGAAGUCAUUACCUCCCCAUCACCAGAUGCCCGCAAUGAAAUCCUAGGCACCUAGACACUGGCCUUCAGACAAGCACCACUGCAGAUAGUAAUACGAGCUGAGUGAGGAAC
rnacentral:lncRNA from 13 species